AGAACGAACGCUGGCGGCGUGCCUCAUACAUGCAAGUCGAACGAGAAAGUCCCCUUCGGGGGGCGAGUAGAGUGGCGAACGGGUGAGUAACACGUGGGUAGCCUGCCCUAGAGUCUGGGAUAACUCGGGGAAACCCGGGCUAAUACCGGAUACGGCCGCGAGGUCUUCGGACCUUGCGGAGAAAGAUGGCCUCUCCUUGGAAGCUAUCACUCUUGGAUGGGCCCGCGUCCCAUUAGCUUGUUGGUGAGGUAACGGCUCACCAAGGCUUUGAUGGGUAGCUGGUCUGAGAGGAUGAUCAGCCACACUGGAACUGAGAACGGUCCAGACGCCUACGGGUGGCAGCAGUAGGGAAUCUUGGGCAAUGGGCGAAAGCCUGACCCAGCAACGCCGCGUGAGGGAUGAAGGCCCUCGGGUCGUAAACCUCUGUCAGGGGGAACGAACUGGUCACGGCUAAUACCCGUGGCAGCUGACGGUACCCCCAAAGGAAGCGCCGGCUAACUCCGUGCCAGCAGCCGCGGUAAUACGGAGGGCGCAAGCGUUGUUCGGAAUCACUGGGCGUAAAGCGCGUGUAGGCGGUUCGGCAAGUCGGGUGUGAAAUCCCCGAGCUCAACUCGGGAACUGCAUCCGAAACUGCCGGGCUAGAGUCCCGGAGAGGAAGGCAGAAUUCCCAGUGUAGGGGUGAAAUCCGUAGAUACUGGGAGGAAUACCAGAGGCGAAGGCGGCCUUCUGGACGGUGACUGACGCUGAGACGCGAAAGCGUGGGGAGCAAACAGGAUUAGAUACCCAGGUAGUCCACGCCGUAAACGGUGCGCACUAGGCGUCGGGGGAUUCACCCUUCCGGUGCCGCAGCUAACGCGAUAAGUGCGCCGCCUGGGGAGUACGGCCGCAAGGCUA
rnacentral:rRNA from 1 species